GCGGACAUGGCGGAAUUGGCAGACGCACCAGACUUAGGAUCUGGCGCCGAGAGGUGUGGGAGUUCGAGUCUCCCUGUCCGCACCA
rnacentral:tRNA from 1 species